rnacentral:rRNA from 1 species
UACGUAGGGGGCUAGCGUUGUCCGGAAUCAUUGGGCGUAAAGCGCGUGUAGGCGGUCCGGUGAGUCCGCUGUGAAAGUCGGGGGCUCAACCCUCGGAUGCCGGUGGAUACUGUCGGGCUUGAGUACGGAAGAGGCGAGUGGAAUUCCUGGUGUAGCGGUGAAAUGCGCAGAUAUCGAGAGGAACACCAAUGGCGAAGGCAGCUCGCUGGGACGUGACUGACGCUGAGACGCGAAAGCGUGGGGAGCAAACAGG